UACGUAGGGACCGAGCGUUGUCCGGAAUUAUUGGGCGUAAAGAGCUCGUAGGCGGUUUGUCGCGUCUGCUGUGAAAACUGGAGGCUCAACCUCCAGCCUGCAGUGGGUACGGGCAGACUAGAGUGCGGUAGGGGAGAUUGGAAUUCCUGGUGUAGCGGUGGAAUGCGCAGAUAUCAGGAGGAACACCGAUGGCGAAGGCAGAUCUCUGGGCCGUAACUGACGCUGAGGAGCGAAAGCAUGGGGAGCGAACAGG
rnacentral:rRNA from 1 species